AUUGAACGCUGGCGGCAUGCCUUACACAUGCAAGUCGAACGGUAACGGGCCUUCGGGUGCCGACGAGUGGCGAACGGGUGAGUAAUACAUCGGAACGUGCCCGAUCGUGGGGGAUAACGAGGCGAAAGCUUUGCUAAUACCACAUACGAUCUACGGAUGAAAGCAGGGGACCGCAAGGCCUUGCGCGGACGGAGCGGCCGAUGGCAGAUUAGGUAGUUGGUGGGAUAAAAGCUUACCAAGCCGACGAUCUGUAGCUGGUCUGAGAGGAUGAUCAGCCACACUGGGACUGAGACACGGCCCAGACUCCUACGGGAGGCAGCAGUGGGGAAUUUUGGACAAUGGGCGCAAGCCUGAUCCAGCCAUGCCGCGUGCAGGAUGAAGGCCUUCGGGUUGUAAACUGCUUUUGUACGGAACGAAAAGCCUUCUUUUAAUACAGGAGGGUCAUGACGGUACCGUAAGAAUAAGCACCGGCUAACUACGCG
rnacentral:rRNA from 1 species